rnacentral:lncRNA from 1 species
UGGGGGGCCCUGGGUGUCCCCGCACCACCGUGGGGACGUGGGGGUCCUGGGACAUCCCCACACUGCCGUGGGUCGUGCUGUGGGGACGUGGGGGGUCCUGGGAGUCCCCGCACUGCCGUGGGUCGCGCCGUGGGGACGUGGGGGGCCCUGGGUGUCCCUGUGCCGCUGUGGGUCACGCUGUGGGGACGUGGGGGCCCUGGGUGUCCCUGUGCUGCCGUGGGUCACGCCAUGGGGACAUGGGGGCCCUGGGACGUCCCUGCGCUGCUGUGGGUCGCACUGCGGGGAUGUGGGGGCCCUGGGUGUCCCUGUGCUGCGGUGGGUCGUGCUGUGGGGACGUGGGGGGUCCUGGGAGUCCCCGCACCGCCGUGGGUCGCGCCGUGGGGGGCCCUGGGUGUCCCCACACCGCCGUGGGUCGUACCGUGGGGGCGUGGGGGGCCCUGGGUGUCCCCGCACCACCGUGGGUCGCGCCGUGGGGGCGUGGGGGGCCCUGGGUGUCCCCGCACCACCGUGGGUCGCGCCGUGGGGGCGUGGGGGGCCCUGGGUGCCCCUGCGCUGCUGUGGGUCGCGCUGUGGGGACAUGGGGGUCCUGGGACAUCCCCACACUGCCGUGGGUCGCACCAUGGGGACGUGGGGGUCCUGGGUGUCCCUGUGCUGCGGUGGGUCACGCCGUGGGGACGUGGGGAGCCCUGGGUGUUCCUGUGCUGCCGUGGGUCGCACCGUGGGGUCCCAGGACAUAUCCCCACGCUGCCGUGGGUCACACUGCGGGGAUGUGGGGGCCCUGGGAUGUCCCCAUGCCGCCAUGGGUCGCACCACGGGGCCCCGGGACGUCCCUGCGCUGCCGUGGGUGGCGCCGUGGGUCGUGCCGCGCCGUGGGUGGCGCUGUGGGUCACGCUGACGCUCUCGCCGCAGGGCUGCCUGCCCACCAUGGCCCGGGCGGUGGUGGUCAACGCUGCCCAGCUCGCCUCCUACUCGCAGUCCAAGCAGUUCCUGCUCGACUCCGGUGAGUCCCGCUUCCGGUGGCGGCGCGGCUCCGGCGGCGUCGUAUCCGGCAGCGUUGCGUCCAGCAGCGUCGCGCCCAGCAGCGUCGCAGCUCUGGCAGCGUCGCAGCUCCGGUG